GGGCGCUGUUGAGCAGCUUCCUGACCGCAUGUCAACGCAGCGCUUCCCCUCAGAGAGCCGUGGAGCUGGUCCAGCUGUCUGCCGCUUUCGGUCUCCCAACAACCCCGGAGCUAGCGAAGAGGACACUGGCUGAGUUUGAGCUGAACGACGAGCAAAGAUCCAUUGUGUCUGAAUUCGAAGCUGCACCAGAGAAAGAAGACUAAAUAAAAAGUGCAAC